AUGAAACCCCCUUCCACUCUCUUCCUCAAAACCCAAAUCCCUUCUUCCAUUUCACUCUUCUCAUCUUCCAGAGGAACGUCCAGUGCUAAAUUGUGCUUCUGUAGGAGUAUUCAAACUAGUUCAUAUGAAGUUGCUAAAGGAAGUUACGUUCCUACUCCCAAUGUGGAUUUGACAAACGAAAAUAUUAUAGUGUGGAAUGUUUUGUUGAGAGAACUGAGCGAGGAAACUAGGCCAAAUGCUGAGUUCAUAAAAUGCUUUCAACUUACCGGCUCUGCGUUUUGGAGGGUUUGUGCCAUGCCCGUGAUUGGUUGA